UGACCGGCCAGAUGGCGUCGGGAUCGGUGAGGGUCUCGUCGCCGAAGAAGUCGCCGCCGCCGAGCAUGCCGACCUUGGUGGUCUCGCCGUACUCGCCGGUGCCGAUCUUGGAGAGCUUGCCGUGCACGAUCAGCAGCACCUGGUCCAUGGGGUUGCCGAAUUCGGCGACCACGGUGCCGGGUGGCAGGUCCCGCUGUUCGAAACGCCCGGCCACGGUGGCCAGGAUCUCCUCGUCCUCGAAGCCGCGCAGCUCCGGCAGUUCCUGCAGUUCGAGCGGGAUGACCCGGGCGGACGGGCCGUUGAUGAUGUACUCCACCUCGCCAUAGCCGACGGUGUGGGUCAGACGGCGGUUGACGCGGUAGAUACCGCCCUUCACCUGGGUCCACGGCAGCGAGCGGGUCAGCCAGCGGGAGCUGAUGCCCUGCAUCUGCGGUUCGGAUUUGGUGGUGUGGGCCAGUUGGUGGGCGGCCGCGGUACUGAGGGACUUGCGCUGGCCGUUCUC
rnacentral:antisense_RNA from 1 species